rnacentral:rRNA from 1 species
UGAGGAAUAUUGGUCAAUGGACGCAAGUCUGAACCAGCCAAGUCGCGUGCAGGAAUAAGGCCCUAUGGGUCGCAGACUGCUUUUGCAUGAGAAUAAAAAGUGGGACGAGUCCCACCCUGUAGGUAUCAUGCGAAUAAGGAUCGGCUAACUCCGUGCCAGCAGCCGCGGUAAUACGGAAGGUCCGGGCGUUAUCCGGAUUUAUUGGGUUUAAAGGGGGCGUAGGCCGGAGAUUAAGCGUGUUGUGAAAUGUAGUGGCUCAACCUCUGCACUGCAGCGCGAACUGGUCUUCUUGAGUACGCACAACGUGGGCGGAAUUCGUGGUGUAGCGGUGAAAUGCUUAGAUAUCACGAAGAACUCCGAUUGCGAAGGCAGCUCACGGGAGCGCAACUGACGCUGAAGCUCGAAAGUGCGGGUAUCGAACAGGAUUAGAUACCCUGGUAGU